UACGGAGGAUCCGAGCGUUAUCCGGAUUUAUUGGGUUUAAAGGGAGCGUAGGUGGAUUGUUAAGUCAGUUGUGAAAGUUUGCGGCUCAACCGUAAAAUUGCAGUUGAAACUGGCAGUCUUGAGUACAGUAGAGGUGGGCGGAAUUCGUGGUGUAGCGGUGAAAUGCUUAGAUAUCACGAAGAACUCCGAUUGCGAAGGCAGCUCACUGGACUGCAACUGACACUGAGGCCCGAAAGUGUGGGUAUCAAACAGG
rnacentral:rRNA from 1 species